UCCAGUCCAAUAUUCUCCUGAUAAAUUAUAAUCCACCUCAAGUUAAAAGAUUAAGUAUUCAGAGGUCAGGUUAGGAAACAAGCUAUAUUUACUUUUAAAGGCAGAUACAAGGGGCAAUACCCUGCAGGUUGAGUGACAGCAAUGAACCAUGAUGACUGUAGAGAAUCUGAGAUGAAGAGACGGAGAGUGGGGUUCAGGCAUUUGAGCUUAGGAAGCAGCCUUGGCCACCAUGUUUCUCCUCUCAAGGCUGAAGGACCCUGUGGGAAGAUGGAAAGCUGAUCAGACAUGUAGGUAUAUAAUUUCCAGGGAAGGGUCUCUAAGAAACACCUCUAACUAUUUCCCCAAAGCUAACUGUUUCCAGAGUUGCUUGCACAUAGAUUGGCAGAGAAAAAUCAUGGACCAUGCUGGAAGAUAGCUGAGGCCUGGAUGCCCAUUGUGAUCCACAGAAUUAAGUGGGGUAAGACUUCUGUGACCUCACAGGAUAAAUCCAAAACCUAGUGACUGCAGUGUUCUCUACCUGAGGCAAAUCAGUGUAAAUCAAGGAGUUUUGGUAUUCACAGCAAACCCACAUGUCUAGCAUGACUGAAGGUGUGAAAUACAGUGGAAAUAGCAUCCCAGCACUCUAUGUAUGCAGGUUUGCAUGUAAGAACAGGAGAAAAGACAAGAAUACUGGAGAAUUCAGCCCAACUUGCAUGGCUCUAAGAAGAAGUGAAAUUCCUUACAGGAGAAGAAAUAGAAGACAGUGUCCCACGAAUGGCCCUAAGCGAAAGCUGUAGGAUGAUGUCAUUACACAAGUAAGGCAAGUACAAGAUAGAAUGAGGCCUGUAAUUGGAUGAGAACAAAGGGUGGGUGGGAGAAAAGUUUGAGGGAAGAGGACAGGAGAAGCCACAGAAUAGAACAAGGAGGCUGACGUUAUGAUUCCACUCUGUGUAUUUGCAGGUUGUUAUGAAUAUUCUUAAGGGAUAGAUGUGUACAGGGCUUUGUAUGUUUAGGUGGGCAAUUGUAUCUUAUCAAUUGGAUCAGAGGUUAUUGUGUUGUUUGUUCUUUCUUGUAGCAAUUUAAGUUUAAGAGAGUGUGUGGCAGCUAGAGACCCGAAGUCACCAAGGAAUUGGGAUGUAUGUUUCUGGCAAGAUAUCUACCAGAUAUCUUGGGGCACUGUGGUGCCAGAUCUAGUGGGGGGGUAAAAUAUAGUCCAUUUCUUAUAAAUUUUACAACAAUAGAAAGCCUUCAAUACUCCCUACAAGAACCAUUCCAAAAGGUAUGCCUGGGCAACCUUUGAUCUUUUUUAAACUCUAAAGCCUGGCCUUUGUGACCUCAUAUCCAGGGCUAAAGUCACAAUUACAAAUAUGCCCUGCUUUGGAUGGCAGAAGAGUCCAUUAUAUUGGGCUAUGAUUUACAGUCAUGAGAAAGUAGGUACUGAUUCUUUCAGGUAAGUCAGCGUGGUGGUUUGAAUAUGCUUGGCUCAAGGAGGUGUCUCUUUAUUCUAGUAGGUGUUGUCUUAUUGAAGGGUGUCAAUGUUGGGAUUGGCUUCGAAAUCUUCUUUCUAGUUGACUGGUAGUCAAUCAUCUGUUGUUUGCCUUGGGACCAAGAUGUAGAACUCUAAAUUCCUCCAAUGCCAUGCCAGACUGGAAACUGCUGUGCUUGCCACCAUGGUGAUAAUGGACUGAACAUAAGAACCUGUAAACCAGGCCCAAUUAAAUGAUGUCCAUUGUAAAAGUUGCCUUGGUCAUGUCUCUUCACAGCAAUGGGAACCUUAACAAAGAGAGUCAGUGGAGAAAAUUUUUUGAGUAAAGACAUGAUCUUACAUUAGUGUAUAUGCUUGGCAGAGGGCUUUCUAGAAAGGGAUGAUUAUGGGACAUAAUUUGGUAUUUGAAGAGUUUUUGAAGUACAAGUGUGACCAUAAGAAGAGAUGAAAUCAGAAAGACCAGAAAAAUACAUGACACACAGUCAGAGGACACAAUCUCCAUACCUAUGAAUUGGGCCUUGUGAAGAUCUACACAGCCUCUAAUGUUUAAGUGGGACAUCCUCUAGGCACAUGGAGGACUAACCUUUCUUGUUUCUCUUAAAUACCUGUGGUAUUCUAGCAAAAGAUCUGAUAACAGAAGGAAGGGAAGCCUGCAUGAUAACUUUGUGGAAUAUACCCUCUUUGUACCUACUUAGAAGCAACAAUCUUUCCACAUGACCUCACAGGGCCUCUCCACUACUGGCACAGCCACCUAUGCAACAGGAAGUACUUUGCGAACUAUCUUUCCCUCCUCCAUCUUUUAUCUUUCUAUUUCUCUAAUGUAUGCUGUGCUUCCUCUGGACUGUGGGCUGUAUGUUCUUUAUCAGUAUAUUAUUUCCCUGGGGAUAGUUCAAAGAUAUUCUACAUGUACUAGAGAUGCUAGAGAAGGUCACCAAUUAAAUUUCUCUAUCAAUAUCCACACAUCUAUUUUAUUUUCCAGAAAGGCUGCUAAUAAACCAAAACUAAACAAAAAAUAGGUUUGGACAAACGUGGAAUCCAAAGACUCUACAACCUUAACUGUAAAAAAAAAAAAAUCUGAUACAGUAUACCCAGAAAACAUAUGCAUCAGGCAAAAUUCUGAGAACAAAAAAGCGCAGAAAAAAGAAUGAUAUAAUGAAAAUUGUCAAAACAAACAUGGGCCCUGAAGUAGCUGGAUCUAAAUGUGAAAGUGAAAGUAUUUGAGAUUUAAACAUGACCCCAAAGACCCAAACAUAGAAGAGAAGUGUUCCUAGGCCUAAAACAGACCAUUAUAAAGGCCCAAAGACAGAAGUAUGCCUUGGAGUAAUGAUGAUGCCUGGGGCAAAAAAAGUUGUGUGCCUGGAAAAAAAAUGUAACCCUGAAGAAACUGUGCACAGAACAAGAUGAAAAGGGGUCCAGAAUCAGAUCCAGACCAUACUGAUGAAUCUGAUACUGAAAGAGAUGUGGGACUUGAUAAAUUUCUGAAAUGAAAGAGGCCUGGCCCAAACCAGGAAAAGGAGUGUGCCAAGGACAAACCCUAAACAUGAAGAAUCCCAUCCCUAAAGAAAGAAGAGAUAUGGGUCUGCACCAACCUCUAAUCUUGAAGAUGUGGGUUUAUGUAAAUUCAUGAAAUGAUAGAGGAUUGGGCCAAACACACACACACACACACACACACACACACACACACACACACACACACACACACACACAA